rnacentral:tRNA from 1 species
GGAAUCUUAGCCAAGUGGUAAGGCGUGGGUCUGCAACACCCUGAGCACCGGUUCAAAUCCGGUAGAUUCCUCCA